rnacentral:rRNA from 1 species
CACGAAACUAUGUGAGUUAAUUUUAAUAAACCAUUAUGUAACAAAAUAAUGACGUGAAUUAAAAUUAGGGGUGAUAGGCUUUUCAAACAUAGUGAUAUCUUGAUUCCCUUGAAAUGUAUAAGUACAUGGACGAAUUUAGAGCUAUAAGGUUCUAAAUAGUUAUAAAAUUUGAAUAGUAUAUUGUAGGAUUUAGAAGUCUAUAUGUCUAUUAAUAUAAUAUUUAUAUCAUGUGAUUGUCGAUUUUACAGGGAUGUAAAUAAUCCAUAUAAAUAUUAAUAAUGUUAUCAUAAGUACUGAGAAGAUAUCAAUAGUGAACUCGGCACUAAGUUUUCAACUGUUUAUCAAAAACAUAGCUAUGUGCAAAUACACAUAGUGUUUUCUGCUCAAUGAAUAUUAAAUAGCCGCAGUACCUUGACUGUGCAAAGGUAGCGUAAUCAUUUGUCUUUUAAUUGAAGUCGUGUAUGAAGGAAUAUAUGGGGACUUUCUUUACCAUUGAUAAUAGAAGAAGUUACUUAAUGAGUGAAAAAACUCAUAAUUAAACAAUAGACGAGAAGACCCUAGAAAUUUAUAAUAUUAUUUUGUUGGGGCAACAUAGUAACAGAUAAUUUACUAUAUGUAUAUGAAAUUUAUUAGAUAAAUUAAAUUACUCUAGGGAUAACAGCAUAAUAUUGAAAUGUUUGUGACCUCGAUGUUGGAUUAGGGAGUUAUAGUUUAGAA